UACGGAGGGAGCUAGCGUUGUUCGGAAUUACUGGGCGUAAAGAGCUCGUAGGCGGUCUGUCGCGUCGGAUGUGAAAAUCCAGGGCUCAACCCUGGACCUGCAUUCGAUACGGGCAGACUAGAGUUCGGCAGGGGAGACUGGAAUUCCUGGUGUAGCGGUGAAAUGCGCAGAUAUCAGGAGGAACACCGGUGGCGAAGGCGGGUCUCUGGGCCGAUACUGACGCUGAGGAGCGAAAGCGUGGGGAGCGAACAGG
rnacentral:rRNA from 1 species